ensembl:lncRNA LUCAT1 lung cancer associated transcript 1
ACUCAGACAAUGCCCAGACCUCCAGAAACCAUGUGUCAAGCUCGGAUUGCCUUAGACAGAAGCUCACCCAGCUGGAACUCUUAUGGGACCUUGGCACCAGAGACCACAAAUUCCUCUUUGAAGUUUUCUAACAGCAACAAUGAGUUUCGCUCUGUCGCCCAGGCUGGAGUGCAGUGGCGCGCGAUCUCGGUUCACUGCAAGCUCCACCUCCCGGGUUCACGCCAUUCUCCUGCCUCAGCCUCCUGAGUAGCUGGGACUACAGGCGCCCGCCACCACACCCAGGAAUCCAACUUGCUGUUUGCUAUCACAUGUGCUAUACAUGCUGUUGAUGAAACUGCUAAAGGGGCUGAAUGUGACUGACGUCUUUGGAAGGAUGAGACUUAGCGUGCCUGUACAGUUGUGUCCAAAUGCUGUCCUCAUCUCCCAAUGAAAAGGUAUUGUAAAUAAAGAGAAAGAUCAGAGGCUUAUUUUAAACACUAAAUAUGAGCUAGGAGCUGUCCUAGACACUAUGUAAAAGUUUUAUUUAGUUCUCACUGUAAUGUUGGCCUUAUGUUAGCAUCCCAUUUUUCAGACUGAGGAAAUUAUGGCUCAGAGAGGUUAAGAGACUUAUUGAAGGUCACACAGCUCCACAAACUUUGGUGUAGAUUGAACGUGUACAUGGGUCUAUGUGACUUUGAAUCUUGCAUUCUUUACAUUAUUGGAAUAUUUCACAGAAGGAAAAUGACAUAUUAACAUGGCAAUAAGAUUUCUGGUUCCAGUCUGGUUACUGGUCUUCCAAGAGUGUUAUAGGAUGUAUAGCCUGAGCUCUGAAGCUUUGUUCUGAAGCAUGCUAUCAAUAUGAACAAAUUGGUAUGGAAGGAAGCCACAAAUUAUAUACUAAAAUCUAGUUCAUCAGAGGAAAAUAUAGUUAAAUACAUUUACAUUCCCAGAACUGUUAAUAUUGAAGAAUAAAACACACAGUGGGAAAGAGACGAAGAGAAAAUACGCCUGUUUUUAUGACUUGUUGAUAUCUACAGGGUUUUUCCUUAAGCCUCACAACAAUUUACAGCAUUGCCAGCAGCAUUCAGUACAUUCAGAACAGGAUAAUUUCACCCGCAGCUGAACUAGGGCCAUGCCUGGGACAGACAGAGAAUGGCCUUCCAGCAGACAUGCCAAGAAGCAAGCCAGGGUCAGUGAGUGAAGAGGAGGGCAGGCCCAUUUGAAGCAACACAGUUUAUGUAAGUGUGAUCUAACUGCUUUCACUGGAAAUGGGUCAGACUCCAGUUGAGAGAACCAGGGGCCUGAAUGACCCCAGCAAAAUCACUGUGGCAAUUCUUUCAAUCACCUCUGAGAAUAUGGCCCUGUGACGACAUAAUGACGUUUGGAUUAAUUCCAGUCGGCUGUGUUUUCCCCUCCUUUCUUGCCUCCCCGUAGUUGAUUUGCCAAAUUUUUUUUGUUUGCUUAAAUACGCGGAACUAAACAGGAUACAUUAUAUGACAGUCUGUGAUAAAUUUACCAC